rnacentral:rRNA from 1 species
CCUACGGGAGGCUGCCGUGAGGAAUAUUGGUCAAUGGGCGAGAGCCUGAACCAGCCAAGUCGCGUGAAGGAUGACGGCCCUACGGGUUGUAAACUUCUUUUGUCAGGGAGCAAUUGGGUCCACGCGUGGGCUUAGCGAGAGUACCUGAAGAAAAAGCAUCGGCUAACUCCGUGCCAGCAGCCGCGGUAAUACGGAGGAUGCGAGCGUUAUCCGGAUUUAUGGGGUUUAAAGGGUGCGUAGGCGGAAUAUCAAGUCAGCGGUAAAAAUUCGGGGCUCAACCCCGUCGUGCCGUUGAAACUGAUGUUCUUGAGUGGGCGAGAAGUAUGCGGAAUGCGUGGUGUAGCGGUGAAAUGCAUAGAUAUCACGCAGAACUCCGAUUGCGAAGGCAGCAUACCGGCGCCCAACUGACGCUGAAGCACGAAAGCGUGGGUAUCGAACAGGAUUAGAUACCCCAGUAGUC